GGGGAUAACACUUGGAAACAGGUGCUAAUACCGUAUAACACUAUUUUCCGCAUGGAAGAAAGUUGAAAGGCGCUUUUGCGUCACUGAUGGAUGGACCCGCGGUGCAUUAGCUAGUUGGUGAGGUAACGGCUCACCAAGGCCACGAUGCAUAGCCGACCUGAGAGGGUGAUCGGCCACACUGGGACUGAGACACGGCCCAGACUCCUACGGGAGGCAGCAGUAGGGAAUCUUCGGCAAUGGACGAAAGUCUGACCGAGCAACGCCGCGUGAGUGAAGAAGGUUUUCGGAUCGUAAAACUCUGUUGUUAGAGAAGAACAAGGAUGAGAGUAGAACGUUCAUCCCUUGACGGUAUCUAACCAGAAAGCCACGGCUAACUACGUGCCAGCAGCCGCGGUAAUACGUAGGUGGCAAGCGUUGUCCGGAUUUAUUGGGCGUAAAGCGAGCGCAGGCGGCUUCUUAAGUCUGAUGUGAAAGCCCCCGGCUCAACCGGGGAGGGUCAUUGGAAACUGGGAGACUUGAGUGCAGAAGAGGAGAGUGGAAUUCCAUGUGUAGCGGUGAAAUGCGUAGAUAUAUGGAGGAACACCAGUGGCGAAGGCGGCUCUCUGGUCUGUAACUGACGCUGAGGCUCGAAAGCGUGGGGAGCGAACAGGAUUAGAUACCCUGGUAGUCCACGCCGUAAACGAUGAGUGCUAAGUGUUGGAGGGUUUCCGCCCUUCAGUGCUGCAG
rnacentral:rRNA from 1 species